GCCACGGUGGUCUAGCGGUUAGAACGCUGGCUUUGUAAUCCUGGGGUCUCGGGUUCGAUUCCCGGCGGUGCCC
rfam:Zootermopsis nevadensis contig12258, whole genome shotgun sequence.